rnacentral:rRNA from 1 species
AGUUUGAUCAUGGCUCAGAACGAACGCUGGCGGCGCGUUUAAGCAUGCAAGUCGAGCGGCAAGGGCCUUCGGGCCCCUAGAGCGGCGGACGGGUGAGUAACACGUGGACAAUCUGCCCCCCGGCCCGGGAUAGCCCAGGGAAACCUGGAUUAAUACCGGAUGAGACGGGACCCGCGAUGGCGGGAUCCGGGAAAGGCGCUGCGGCGCCGCCGGGGGAUGAGUCUGCGUCCCAUUAGCUAGACGGCGGGGUAACGGCCCACCGUGGCGACGAUGGGUAGCCGGCCUGAGAGGGUGGACGGCCACAUUGGAACUGAGACACGGUCCAGACUCCUACGGGAGGCAGCAGCUAAGAAUCUUCCGCAAUGGGCGAAAGCCUGACGGGAAGCGACGCCGCGUGAACGAAGAAGGCCGUGAGGUUGUAAAGUUCUUUUCGGGAGGGGGAACAACCGUGGCAGGGAAUGGCCGCGGGAUGACGUGAAUCCCGGAAUAAGCCCCGGCUAACUACGUGCCAGCCGCCGC